rnacentral:rRNA from 1 species
CCAGCAGCUGCGGUAAUUCCGGCUCCAAUAGCGUAUAUUUAAGUUGUUGCAGUUAAAAAGCUCGUAGUUGGAUUUCGGGUGGGUUCCAGCGGUCCGCCUAUGGUGAGUACUGCUGUGGCCCUCCUUUCUGUCGGAGACGCGCUCCUGGGCUUCAUUGUCCGGGACGUGGGUUUCGACGUUGAUACUUUGAGUAAAUUAGAGUGUUCAAAGCAAGCCUACGCUCUGAAUACUUUAGCAUGGAAUAUCGGGAUAGGACUCUGGCCUAUCUCGUUGGUCUGUAGGACCGGAGUAAGGAUUAAGAGGGACAGUCGGGGGCAUUCGUAUUUCAUUGUCAGAGGUGAAAUUCUUGGAUUUAUGAAAGACGAACUACUGCGAAAGCAGUUGCCCAGGAUGUUUUCA